rnacentral:rRNA from 1 species
UCGCGGCGGCGCGCGCAGAAGGGUCUGGGCUCGAGCCUGCCUGGAGCCGCCGCCGGUGCAGAUCUUGGUGGUAGUAGCAAAUACUCCAGCGAGGCCCUGGAGGACUGAUGUGGAGAAGGGUUUCGUGUGAACAGCCGUUGCACACGAGUCAGUCGAUCCUAAGCCCUAGGAGAAAUCCGACGCCAACGGCGACGGGAAAUCAAAAUCAUUUUAAUUGACCCGUUGAUCGGGCGAAAGGGAAUCCGGUUCCUAUUCCGGAACCCGGCAGCGGAACCGCUGUUUGUCGGGCCCUCACAAGGGGUUCGUCAGGGUAACCUAAAAGGGCCCGGAGACGCCGUCGGGAGCCCCGGAAAGAGUUUUCUUUUCUGCAUGAGCGUUCGAGUUCCCUGGAAUCCUCUCGCAGGGAGAUAGGGUUUGGAACGCGAAGAGCACCGCAGUUGCGGCGGUGCCCGGGAAUUCCCGACGGACCUUGAAAAUCCGGGAGAGGGCCACGUGGAGGUGUCGCGCCGGCUCGUACCCAUAUCCGCAGCAGGUCUCCAAGGUGAAGAGCCUCUAGUCGAUAGAAUAAUGUAGGUAAGGGAAGUCGGCAAAUCGGAUCCGUAACUUCGGG